AUUUUUCCUCUUUCUCUCUCUUUCUCUCUUUCUUUCAGUUUGUUUCUCUUUCUAUCUUCUUUUAUCUUUUCAUCCUUAUCGAUAGAAACUUUUAAGAGGAUCAAAAAAUACUCGUAAAUAUCGAUCAGUUUGUACGCUUGUGACUAGUAUUGUUAAACCCGUAUAAAACAAAAAGGAAAUUAAUUAUAAACAAUAUUAUAACAAAAAAAAAAACAAAAAAAUAAAAAAAAAACUUUCGUUUGUGUUGUAAGGAAGGGUUGCGUCAAGGUUGUGUGAGGGAUGCAUUAGGGAUUAGGAUCAACAAUAUUAUAAAACAACAGAAGAAUAAUUAACAAUUUUUGUUUGUGCUGUAAGUCAGGGUUGCGUCAAGAUUGUGCCAGGUUUGCGUCAAAGUUGUGUCAGGAUUGCGUCAAAGUUGCGUCAGGGUUGUAUCAGGGUACAGGAUCAACAAUAUUAAUAAACAAAACCAAAAGAAAUUAAAACUUUGGUUUGUGUUGUAAGGUAGGGUUGCGUCAAGGUUGUGUGAGGGAUGCAUUAGGGUUUAGGAUCAACAAUAUUAUAAAACAACAGAAGAAUAAUUAACAAUUUUCGUUUGUGCUGUAAGUCAGGGUUGCGUCAAGAUUGUGCCAGGUUUGCGUCAAAGUUGUGUCAGGAUUGCGUCAAAGUUGCGUCAGGGUUGUAUCAGGGUACUGGAUCAACAAUAUUGUUAAUCAAAACCAAAAUAAAUUUAAACUUUGGUUUGUGUUGUAAGGCAGGAUUUAGUCAGAGUUGCAUCAGUUUUUCAUCAGGGUUGCGUCAGGGUUGUGUAUAAUUCGAUGGUAAGUAAA